rnacentral:hammerhead_ribozyme from 1 species
AUCCAGCUGACGAGUCCCAAAUAGGACGAAAUGUGCAU